rnacentral:rRNA from 1 species
GACGAACGCUGGCGGCGUGCUUAACACAUGCAAGUCGAACGAAGUGGCGAACGGGUGAGUAACGCGUAAUCAACCUGCACUUCAGAGGGGGACAACAGUUGGAAACGACUGCUAAUACCGCAUACUGAAGGAGGGGAUUGCGUCUGAUUAGCUAGUUGGGGGGGUAACGGCCCACCAAGGCGAUGAUCAGUAGCCGGGUUGGGGGGGAGGACGGCCAAAAUGGGACUGGGACACGGGCCAGACUCCUUCCGGAGGCAACCGUGGGGGAUCUUCCGCAAUGGGGGGAAGUCUGACGGAGCAACGCCCCGGGAGUGAUGACGGCCUUCGGGUUGUAAAGCUCUUUUAAGCGGGACGCGGUACCGGCAUAGGAAGCCACGGCUAACUCCGUGCCAGCAGCCGCGGUAAUAC